rnacentral:misc_RNA from 1 species
UGUCCCCAUCAACACAAGAUGGCAACCGAGUGUCAAGCUACUUACAAAGUGUUGGUGUUGGGUGACUCAAACGUCGGUAAAACUUGCAUAGUGCAUCGCUAUUGCGAUGAAAAGUACUAUGACACGUACAUCUCAACUAUCGGGAUUGAUUUUAAACAAAAAAUUAUCUACUUGGAUGGAACUCCAAUCAAGAUGCAGAUCUGGGACACAGCUGGGCAAGAACGUUUCCGGACUCUGACGACUGCAUACUAUCGUGGUGCCAUGGGUAUACUGCUCAUGUACGAUGUCACUAGCCUAGAUUCUUUCAAUAACCUGCCCUACUGGCUACAGAACAUCAAGGAGAAUGCUUCUCCGGACGUGGUGAAAGUGUUGGCAGGCAACAAGUGUGAUAGCGAGAGUCAGCGCACAGUGGACUCUGAGAUCGGACAAAAGAUAGCAGAGAGUUUCGAUAUGCCUUUCUACGAAGUGUCUUGUAAGCAGGAUGUCAACAUUGAGCAAGCCUUUCUCACCCUCGCACGACUUAUUCGUGACCAAAGAAGUAAACAGGGAGCUCUGAUGGACAGUGGACAGGUGGAAGAGGAGCAGCCGAAGAUUGAUCUGAACAAGCCUCGUCUGAUUGAGCAAGCUCUGCGAGAACAGUGGCGCUGUAAUUGCUAGCUCCGUGCCUCCAUGUACGCACUCACACGCCCACGCCGCGUUUGUUAAUUUUGUUCUGGCUUACGUUCGGUUGGUCAGCCUCCUAACUACAAUCUAGUGAAACUGAUCUCAGUUCUCGUAUUUGGAAAUAAAUGGAUGGAUAAAAAGUAUGUCCAUAUAGUCUCAUAAUAUUACAUAAAGAAUAUAAAAAUCACUUGAGAUUAUGUAAAAAUGAUUUUUUUACAGAUAAAGACAGGAAGCAAGAAGCAGAAUUAGAAUAACCUGAAAGUAGAGGGGAAGAGCAAUUACUUGGUAAUGUUCCUUUAGUAAAGUUUGUAGAAAAUCUGAUCUGGAAUAGUAGACAUAACAGCUCGGAUGAUAUCGAAUAACCAGUUUUAACACCUAAUAAGAUGUGUGUAUUUUACAAAGUAAGACACAAUUUUGACAUGUCAUUCCUAAGUUUUCUAUUAAAAUCACAAAGACUGAAGAAUAGUCAACCUAGUAGUAGGAGAGAAAAAUACAUUGCCUGUUUUUAAGUUAUUGAUGAUUAGUGACACUAUUACAAGAGAAGGUUCAAAUGCUCGAGACCUCACCUUAGGACGUGCCGAAACUGCUUACUAUUAUGCAAAAACUAAAAUUAAGUUAUCCUAAAUAGAAUUUUAUAUUAAAUUAUAAUAUUAUCUUAUUAUGUGUAUAAUGAGAUAAGAUUCAAAAGACUAUGAACAUUUCUCGUACAAUGUUUCUCUCACAGAUUGUAUUUUUAAUAUUUAUAUCAAAUAUUAGAUAGGCUAGAAUAAACCAUACUAAAAUGUCACUGUUCCAAAAUUGUGUUUUGGAAUGCCACAACAUUCAACACAGAACAAAUAUUGAUUAAGAAUCAAUUAGUUUGAUUAUUUAUCAUUUUAACUAAUGAGAACAAUAUGACAGUGUCAGGUAAGGCCUGAGGUGAGGACAGUCAGUGACUUUUGUCUCUUGAACCAAGGAGGACUAUAAUCAUUAAUGCUCUUGAGUUUUUACUAUUGCUAAAGAACUCUUUAUCUUGUUUUAUAUUUGUGUAAUGUUAGUAAUUGUUGACUGGCCAAGAUUGAAAGAUAGUUUAAUAUUUGUUUGUUACAUGUUUGCACUGUUUUGCAUUUAAACAUUUUUAAACUGAGUAAAAGUCACAUCUAGAAAGAUAUGAGCUAUGUGUAUGUUUUUAUUUAAUUACAGAUAAGUUUGAAGUGUUUCUGUGAGGUGGCACUCCACAUUGAUACUGAAAUACUUCAACAUUUUAAUUUUAUUAGCAAUACACCGACUUACUGCGAACCGGAAAACUUACAAUGUUGUUUUUACGACAUUUACAUUAACAAUACCUAAAUGACAAAAUUUGAGUAGAAAAGUAUUCAAAAAUAUACUUGCGGCUUUUUAAAAUAAAACCAUAAUUAGCUGAGUUUGAUAAUUUUUGAGAUCAUUAUCAAUUUGCAGGAAAUUGUCAUCACACUCUCUUAAGGUAGAUUGGUAUGUGAUGAUAAUUAUUGUGAUUCCAUCAUUAAAAAUACAGAAAGUUUAUAUUUUGCAUUUGUAAUUAGAAGUUCAUAUUUAUACAAUGUAAUCACUUUCAUAAAACGGAAGGAACAGAAAGAAUUUGCGUUAAUUUAAUAAACAGUUACAACGGGUUAUUUAAUAAUGUGUAAUGAAUAUUUUGAAGAGUUUAUACCUGCCAGUAAAGCUUUUUUUUCUGUAUAAAUCAAUCGCUCUAAUGAUGGAAUAUUCCCAUGGAGCAGUGUAUAGAUAAAGUAGGAGAGUAUGUGAAAAUCAGUAAAAAUUAAAUGAAAAUUUAAAAUUAUAAUAAAAUUAAGUUUAUUCAAUUUAUCUAUAUUUAUGUAGCCACACAAAUAAUUUAUAUUUUUUUUACAUACAGAUAUUUUGAGUUAGUUAUUUUUAAUUGUUAAACGUAAUAUUUCUUUUAAUUACACUACUGUAUAGUAUCUUUCAAUCACAAAACAAAUGAUUGAUUAGAUAAUUUUAGAACAGCAAACGGAAAGAGUUGCAUGUUAUUUUUAAACCAACAAACUGUAAAGAUGAAAACUAAGAUUUGUUACUCAUAUUUGAAUAAAACUAAGAAAUGAACAAGUUUGACAUUGAUAUUAUGUUGGAUUUUAUGAGUAAACAAUAAAACCAAAUAAUGCUAUCUGUUAAUCUGCUGUCCUAAGGUGAUGCAAUUUAGGGUUAUUUGUAACUAGUUAAAUCUUAAAUACAGAAAAGGAAAUUUUUGAUCACUCCACGAGCAACUAUAUGUGUUUAAUAUAUUCAGCAAUUUUGUAACCAAGGUGGAAAAAACCAAGGAUAUGAAUUUGUACAGUAUGUAUAAAUUAUGACUUAACCUUUAGAACACUGAACCUACAACUCACAACAAAAACAAAAACUUAAAUUACAAGAUUUCCUGUCAUACACGUUUUGAGCAAAUUCUAUCGCUCGAGAUUUCUCAUUAUAUGCAUGAUAAGGGUUAUGAAAGGCCAAGUGUUUUUAUGAAGCCAAAUUUGUGCCAUUUAAGAACAUGUAACUAUCUUCAGUCAUAUUUCAUAUACAAACUGCCAGAAUUUUGUAUCCUUGGGUUCAACUGUUGUUCCAUGGCCCUGAUUUCAAGAUGGCUUUCAAUACCUACAAUUCCCUGUGAAAUUAUCAAAUGUUUUUUCUACUUUUUUCAUCAAGAAAGGUAUCUCGUAUCUUAAAUGGCGGUGGCUAUGAAAUUAAAAUAAAACCCAAUCUAUAACCAAGGGCAUUGCUUCAAUUUCAUGCGGUAGCAGUAAGUUUUAAUUGGCUCCUGUACAAACUACGGUAGGCCACUGCUCUUCUGGUAUCUUACUUCUGAUGGGUUAGAAUGGUUUUGUUUGUAAUUUUAUACAACUGUUUAUCUCAAAUUGUGCCAUCAUAUGUGGUUUAAGUGAGAUUGAAAAAAUAUAUGUACUUAUUUAGGUAAAACAUGAACCAACAAUAAAUUUGCUAAGGUUUAUAUACUUGGUUUGUAUUCUUUCCAUCUUACGAUAUACAUACAAAAAUUUGUUUUGGUAAGUCAUAUUGUGUACAUGUUAUUUAAAAUAUUUUUAUUUUAAAAUUAAAUUAGGUUAAAUUUAUUGAUUUAAAAACUAUUACAACAUUUAUUUAAGUUAACAAUGUCUCAAAAUAGUAAAGUGUACUAAUGUCUUUCAUGCAAGUAUUAUUUAGGUUAAAAUUGAGAAGUGAGAAAAGUUAAAGUAAACAUAUCACUUUUUGUAAAUUAAAAACAAUAUAAUUCGGAAAAAUAAUUUGAUCAGGCAAUAGUCAUGCUAGAUAUGCAAUGGAUUCAUUUUAUAGAACUAAAACACAAUGCAUGGCUAUAUUUUCAGAAAAAAUACAAUUCUGUACUUGUGUAGAGAACACAUCACAUUAAUGCAUUACAUAUAUGUCUGUAAAAUAUUUUUAUUUUGAAACAUUAAUUCUCUCUAGGCAUUUUUAUUUAUUAUAAAAGAAACCUUUUACUUAGUAAAAGGAGGUACAAUAGUAUCGUUGGUGAGGUAUUCCAUGUAGAAAUGUUGUUGUUAGAAUGAAUAGUAAAUAGUCCGAUUUGUAACAGUACGACAAUACUCAGUUCCAGUUCCGUAGUAGACUGUUCUCACUCUAUGUGCUUUAGCCUCGUACAACGACUGCACAAAUGCUUCAUGGCAGGAUCACACCAAGAUCGACGCUUGGUUGUUUACGGUUACUGUUACCAUUUAGUCAUAAGCUGCUAUGUCUUUGUGUACAUACAAUAAGUGUUCGAAUGUUGUAAACCCGAUCAAGAUUUUAUAUCAAAAUUCCAGCUUUUCUUAAAAUGUGAUAUUGUUAGUACUUACAGAUGUUGAAUGUGAUGUUCACCAUGUAAACAUAAUAUAUAGCCAACAAUGAUAACAUCCCUAAUGUAUGAAAUGUUUUAGGGAUUUUUAACUUAUUUUUGUGGGGUGUUUACUUUUGAAAUAUUUGUAUAACAUUUACAUUUUUAUUGUUCCCAUUCACACUCAAAUUUGACUGUUAAAAAACUUUUGUUUUUUAUGAAAAUUGUUGUGUUAAAAUAAGUAAAUUUUAUUCAAAAAUAUAG